ensembl:lncRNA
CAACCAGUGCUCCCAGUGCUCCCAGUUCAACCGGGGCUCCCAGGGAUCCCAGUUCAACCCCCAGUGCUCCCAGUUCAGUUCAACCAGUGCUCCCAGUUCAGUUCAACCAGUGCUCCCAGUGCUCCCAGUUCAACCCCCAGUGCUCCCAGUUCAGUUCAACCAGUGCUCCCAGUGCUCCCAGUGCUCCCAGUUCAACCGGGGCUCCCGGGGCUCCCAGUUCAACCGGUGCUCCCAGUUCAACCGGGGCUCCCAGUUCAACCAGUGCAACCCAGUUCAACCGGGGCUCCCGGGGCUCCCAGUUCAACCAGUGCUCCCAGUUCAACCAGUGCAACCCAGUUCAACCAGUGCUCCCAGUUCAACCAGUGCUCCCAGUUCAACCAGGGCUCCCGGGGCUCCCAGUUCAACCAGUGCUCCCAGUUCAGUUCAACCAGUGCUCCCAGUGCUCCCAGUGCUCCCAGUGCUCCCAGUUCAACCGGGGCUCCCGGGGAUCCCAGUUCAGUUCAACCAGUGCUCCCAGUUCAACCGGGGCUCCCAGUGCUCCCAGUGCCCCCCAGUGCUCCCAGUACCUCCCAGUUCAACCAGUGCCGCCCAGUGCUCCCAGUUCAACCAGUGCCGCCCAGUGCUCCCAGUUCAACCGGGGCUCCCAGUGCUCCCAGUUCAACCAGUGCAACCCAGUUCAACUGGGGCUCCCAGUGCUCCCAGUUCAACCAGUGCUCCCAGUGCUCCCAGUGCUCCCAGUGCUUCCAGUGCUCCCAGUUCAACCGGGGCUCCCAGUUCAACCCCCAGUGCUCCCAGUGCCCCCCAGUGCCCCCAGUGCCCCCCAGUGCUCCCAGUUCAGCCAGUGCUCCCAGUUCAACCAGUCCCUCCCAGUUCAAUCACCAGUGCCCCCCAGUGCCCCCCAGUGCUCCCAGUGCUCCCAGUUCAACCAGGGCUCCCAGUGCCUCCCAGUUCACCAACCAGGGCUCCCAGUGCUCCCAGUUCAACCAGUGCCUCCCAGUGCCCCCAGUUAACCCAGUGCCCCCCAGUCCUUCCCAGUUCACCCAGUGGAUCCCAGUUCACCCAAUUCCCCCCCAGUUCCCCCCCAGUCCCCCCCAGUCCCUCGCAGUUCCCUCCCAGUUCCCCCCAGUUCCCUCCCAGUUCCCUCCCAGUCCCUCCCAGUUCCCUCCCAGUCCCUCCCAAACCCCUCCCAGUCCCUCCCAGUCCCUCCCAGUCCCUCCCAGUUCCCUCCCAGUCCCUCCCAAACCCCUCCCAGUCCCUCCCAGUCCCUCCCAGUCCCUCCCAGUUCCCUCCCAGUCCCUCCCAAACCCCCCCCAGUCCCCCCCAGCCCCUCCCAGUCCCUCCCAGUUUGCCCAGUCGCUCACCGGUCGUGCCGCAUGCGCACGGCCAGCACGGGCCGGGGGAAGCUGAACUCCAGCACGAGCUUCUCCUUCCCCUCGCGGGCGUCGUCCCAGAUCAGCACUGCGGGCACGGCGCCGUGGGCACCCCGAAAUCCCCCAAAAACCCCCCAAAAAAACCCCAAAAACCCCACCAAAACCCCCCAAAAACCCCCCAAAAACGGGACACCCCGAAACUGCGGGCACGGCGCCGUGGGCACCCCGAAACCCCCCAAAAACCCCCAAAAAUGGGGCACCUCGAAACCUCCCAAAACCCCCCAAAAAACCCCCAAA